GUGAGUCAUCGAAUCUUUGAACGCAUAUUGCGCUCCUAGGUAUUCCUGGGAGCACACCUGUUCGAGCGCCGUUUCAAAACUAAGGCUCUGCCUUGCGAUGAUGAUGUCCCCUGUCAAAAAGGGACCCGUCGAAACGUGCAGGCACCGUCCAGCAGCAAGCAACGUAGCGAUAUACGCGGCGAACUGAUUGAGAAGGUUGCCAGUCAAACCCAAAUGUUUGGCCUCGGAUCAGGUGGGGAUACCCGCUGAACUUAAGCAUAUCAAUAAGCGGAGGA
rnacentral:misc_RNA from 1 species